rnacentral:lncRNA from 1 species
GGUUUACUCUAACUAAGCUACAUCUAGUCUCUUCUAACCUUAGAGGGUUCCACUAUAAUCUUCAACAAGAUUAUAACUAUGUAUCUCACCAUUCCUGCUAUCCCCAUACAAUCCUGGUAUUCCAUGAUACACUACCUAGUUGAGUUUCACUCACUCUUGAUUGCACAAUAUUCUUCACCAUUCCUGGUAUCCCUAGUCAAUGAAUAACACUUAUUACCCUGCCU